rnacentral:rRNA from 1 species
GAUGAACGCUGGCGGCGUGCUUAACACAUGCAAGUCGAACGAAGCACUUUAUUUGAUUUCCUUCGGGACUGAUUAUUUUGUGACUGAGUGGCGGACGGGUGAGUAACGCGUGGGUAACCUGCCUUGUACAGGGGGAUAACAGUUGGAAACGGCUGCUAAUACCGCAUAAGCGCACAGCAUCGCAUGAUGCAGUGUGAAAAACUCCGGUGGUAUAAGAUGGACCCGCGUUGGAUUAGCUAGUUGGUGAGGUAACGGCCCACCAAGGCGACGAUCCAUAGCCGACCUAAGAGGGUGACCGGCCACAUUGGGACUGAGACACGGCCCAAACUCCUACGGGAGGCAGCAGUGGGGAAUAUUGCACAAUGGGCGAAAGCCUGAUGCAGCGACGCCGCGUGAGCGAAGAAGUAUUUCGGUAUGUAAAGCUCUAUCAGCAGGGAAGAUAAUGACGGUACCUGACUAAGAAGCACCGGCUAAAUACGUG